AUCUCAGCCACUUAAAUUAAAACAGGUCUCCAUCCCUUUUUCUUCCACCAACGCUGUCAAAGUGUCAAUUAAGGGUAAGCUAACGACAUUUGCUGCAAGUGUUAGAGAGUUGGGAUUAAGUGGAUUGAGCGAAUGAGCGUUGAUUCGUUGAACGAUGUUGAAGGUAUAAAUAUUGAUGAAAAGAAGUUGUGUUCUGUAAGCAGUUCUACUGUUUGUAAAUAUAGGUCUCUUUUGUUAUACAUAGUCAUCAUCUCUAUCAUUUUUUGCUUAUUAUAAUGUAAUCUUAAGUUUUCAAUCUUGGGACCUUUCUUUCUCAAUUAUAAUGUAAUCUUAAGUUUUCAAUCAGAAUAAUGUAUGUUUUUAUGAUGCA